rnacentral:tmRNA from 1 species
GGGGGCGUUCUGGUUUUGACAUCAGAUUAAUUGGGCGGCAAGCGUGCCGAGCUUUUGUAAGAGUGGCUCGUAAAUACUUAACUUACGAAAAAUUAGUUGGCAACAACUAUUCAAGACUUGCUUGCGCAGUUUGCUAAGCUAAACAGCGCUUAACGUUUUGGUCAAGGACCCGAACGACAAGUAUCUCGCUAAGGUUUACGUCCUUUUGGCCUUAGCAUACGAGGUAUCGUUAAAAAGGAAUGCGAGGGCGGACUCCUUUAAAACUCUCAAAGACUUAAAGGAUAAGUUGUUAAUAGUUUGCCAAAGAGCGGUUAACAAUCGAAAAACAUUCUUCGGCUACGCACGUAGAAAACCGUUUGGUGGUUUGAUUGGACAGCGGUUCGACUCCGCUCGCCUCCACA